UACGCCACCGCUGUCAUGCCGCCGGGCUCGUCCGCGGAUGAAGCCCUUCGACAGGCGCUCCUGGACUCGGCGGCGCCUCCUCCACCGCCGCCACAGCCUUGGGCGCCUCCUCCACCGCCGCCACAGCCUUGGGCGCCUCCCCCACCGCCGCCACAGCCUUAUGGCUGGGCUCCUCAUCCGCCGCCACAGCCGCAGCCCUGGGCGCCUCCACCGCCGCCUCAGCCGCAGCCUCGUCAACCUCGAGCACCGCGAUCGCGCCCGGCGUACGCUCCCCCGGAUGGCAACUGGCCGUGGGACAUACCGGAGGUCAUCGUGCUGGACAGCGACGAGGAGCAGCACGGCCACGACAGCGACCAGUAGGCGUUUUAGGUUUUUUUUAUUAUGUUUCAGUUUUUGUAAAUUAUGUUUCAGUUCAAAAAUAUGGUUCGUCCUAAAAAAAAUGCGUCGUGCCGCUGGAGCCACCCCCCGACGCAAACGGACGCGCGGUCGUUUUCGACCAAAAGGGCCGACGCAAACGGACGCGCGCGGACGCUAAAAUGCGUCGCGCCGCUGGAGAUGCCCUGAGGCGUGAGAAAUCUUGGAGGGCAAGGAGCCAUGCGAUCGUUCGUGGCGCUACGGGCCGUGCAAGUUCACGCCGGUCCAAGAGGGAUGACAUGUAGGGUGACGUCAACGGUCAGUCUCCGUCCGUGUGAGAUACGUCGUGCUGUCAGCAGGGGGCAUUCGACGAACCGUAGAAUCUAAAGGUAUAAUUGUUGCACCCCCAUGGGGCUCUCACAGCGAUCCUCGCUUGGUGGCCGUUGGAUCACCCCAUCAGCGCAUCUCAGCCGUCCAUUUUGGGUACUUCUCUCACUAGCUAACCCCAUGCAAUGGCCAACUGUUACCCGCCUCCGGCUGCAGUUGGACCCCACCUUUGCCGGCCCCACAUGUCAGCCACUGCGGCUGGGAUCUCUGUCGGUGCGCAUUGGCAUCUGACAGUGGAUCUCAACCCGCAGGGGUAUUUUCGGUAUUUCAGCGCGGCCUGGUAUAAAAACGAGCACCAGGGCAAAAGAAACCCUAGCCGCCUCGCGCCCCCGCCCCCGCCCCGCGCCCGCCUCGCGCCCCGUUCUCGUCGCCCGCCGUCGCCUCGAGCCGCCGCCCCGCGCCGCCGCCCCGCCCCCACCCCUACCCCGUUCUCGUCGCCGGCCGCCGCCUCGAGCUGCGGUGCCUCAGCACACCAGCUCCCCCAAUCGCUUGCGUCCUCCUCCCUCCUCGAGCUCUCUUCGCCUGUUUCUCCUCCCCCGCUCGACGUCCUCACACGGCCUCUCCUCCUCUGCUGCACAAGCGCCGGCCGUCCGCAUGCACGCCGGCCUCUUCCUCCAACGGCCGUCGACCUCCCUCUCUCCCCGACCUGCACCUCCACGCGGUGGCCGUGUCCAGCUAGGGGAGCUUCCACCCUAACCCUAGCAGCAGCAGGCCGUCACCCAACCUGCACAUCCAUGCCCUUCUUCACCUGCAGCAGGACGCCGGCGACCGGAUCGGCCGUAUCUGCAUCAUCUCGAACCUCCAGCUGCAGCAGCCGGACGCAACCUGCACCUCCACGCCAUUCCUCACCUGCAGCAGGACGACGGCGACCGGAUCGACCAGAUCUGCAUCAUCACCUGCAGCAGGACGCCGCCGACCGGAUCGACCAGAUCUGCAUCAUCUCGAACCUCCAGCUGCAGCAUCCGGACGCAUCACUCCUGCUCUCAUUGACCAGCAGGUCGAGUGUGUGAGAUUCACCCAGGAGAUGAAGGAGGUCACCGGGCCAAGGAGAGGCGGCACUUCAGAUUAACCAUGCACUUGCUGCCGAAGUAGGCACAUGAGAGCGUCGUGGCAUAAGCGCUAGCGUUGCGACCAAGGGUAUUGCAGUGGUCAAUGGUGGCAAGGCGUCUCGCCACAUCCAGCUUCAUGUUGCACAGGCAUGCCAGUUAAAUGGAGGGUUGUGCUUAAGUGUUCUUACAAAUACAAGUUGCAAAAAUCGCUUUGUUUUUUUUGGUGGGAGAGCUCAUGCGGCUCAUUGGGAUGCCCCAGGUUUUCUCGUGUCUGGUUAUUGGCUGGUAGGGGAUCUGCUAUCUUCGUGGUUUCCUCGACUGGUUUGUUCACAUCCUUUGUAUCGUACUUUGUUUGGUUCGUUCCAAUGUGUUUUCUUCUAGAUCAUGGAUUAUUUUGCCCCCAUGUGCAUUUACUUCUACAUAACGGCGUUCCAUGAAGUGGCAAGCUAGCUGCAGGAGAGAAGAUCAAUCUAUGUAUUGUUCAAUGUACUCAAUAGCUUGCAUCCAAAGAUAGCUUGCCUAUACAUUAUACAACCUCAAUAUAGGUAUAAAUUAUGCCCUGUCGUGAACCUAUUUUUGUUUUUGCCAUUCUGAAUGAGGUGCAAAACAUCUCAUGCUCUGUAACGAUAUUAGUACAAGAACAUAUUUGCUCUCUGUAAGAUAUUUUUAUACCAAUGCUUGCUGUAAAUAAGGUCACUAUUGGUUAUAUGACUUCCACUUUUAAAUUUAAUUCACAUGUUGGUGCCAGUUUUGUACAAUUUUAGACCUUUUCUAUGAUAUCGUUUCUGAAAGCAACUUAUAAAUCAUAUUCUGGCUGCAGUUUUGACUUUUGACCAUGUUUCAUCGCAUGAGAUGAUUCUUUUUAGUCCAAGGUCGCUUCAUGCUUUUGCUUGCUGGUCACCUGGUCUGUCUGGUUGAUUGCAGUACAUGAAAACAACUAUUGGCGAAGCAGCAAGGCGAAGUUGCGCGCUGACCAACAUGGUAACCUCUUCGUGCCAGGGGCAAGCUGAUCAAUGACGCUAUGUUGCUAUUUACCUCUCUUGCUAAUUUUUGUCAUGUUUGUGGCAAAAUCAAUAAUAUAGUCACCUUACAUGGAGCUCUAUGCCUGGUUUGUGCUAUAUCCAUUUUUUCACCAUGGCUACUGCUGCUAUUAUUAGGAUACUAGGAUACUGCUAUUCUUUUUAAUGCUAUGGUUUAGUAUUGGUAAUUCUAAUAUUCGAUUGUUGUAAUUUUCUUCUCUAUAUGCUUAUAUGUGGAUAUAUGUCAACCUUAAACUGUAAUUCAUGCCUUUUUCUGCUUGAAGGUUUCUCUGUUGUUUUUCGACCUUAAGAUUGCUUCGUUGCUUUGUCACUGAUAUAGCUUGAAGUAUUAUCAAUUUAGGACCAGAAAGAUGUUCAAACGGUUUCUUUUAAAAACCAACCAUAGUUGUGCAUUAGAGAGACUACAGUAGGGUGUGUGUGUUCUCUAAGUAACAAUGAACAAGCUCUUGCAACUAAAAAAACAAAUGUUUGCUCUUUGUGAUGAUUUUCUCAAUUUACUGGUUUACUGAACCAAAGCUUGUUUUUGCAUACUCUUCUAUACCCAUCUUGUUCAGGAGUUCACCUGAUGUGUUGAGCUCUAAAGUUGCAGUGCUGGCUACCAAAGGAAAACCGCGUGUCCUCAAAAGUUGCUCCUUGCAAUUGUGGGGGCCAAAUAAAAUUCUGGCUAUACAUGCAUCCAAAGAAUGGUCCUCCUUGCUGGAUGCCUGAACCAUUACCAAAGAGUAAUACGUAGGAGGAGCUAGCCAUUGAAUUAAUUACAGCCUGGCCAAUCCACUUUCGACAUGGACUAUUUUCAAUGGGUUCCAAGUUUCGAAAUCAGCUCCUCUCUUGAUGUAUUGUUAUGUUAUUUCCGCACCGUUGUAAACAUUUUGAGUAGCUCUUAUCGAAUAACUUAUCUUGCACUUUACAUUGUUGGACCCUCUCUCAUGAUGACUUCAGAUGUAAUUAUGUUAGACGUGGCUGCCGCCUGACAGUGAUUUAUAUUAUUGCUUGGCUAAAAAGGAUUAGAGGUACAUUAUUUUUUUCAUAUGGUUAGUAUAUCUUAAAUGAUACAAUACCCAAAA